GUGGAAUUGACUGCUUAUUGCACCACAUGUGUUUUUUAUUGAACAAAUUUCUUUGGUGGCGGGAGCAAUCCUACCGCCAGAGGUUAUAACUAAACCAAACUUUUUAUUUACAGUCAAACUUGAUUUAUUAUUACAAUAGUCAAAACUUUCAACAACGGAUCUCUUGGUUCUCGCAUCGAUGAAGAACGCAGCGAAAUGCGAUACGUAAUAUGAAUUGCAGAUAUUCGUGAAUCAUCGAAUCUUUGAACGCACAUUGCGCCCUUUGGUAUUCCAAAGGGCAUGCCUGUUUGAGCGUCAUUUCUCCCUCAAACCCCCGGGUUUGGUGUUGAGCAAUACGCUAGGUUUGUUUGAAAGAAUUUAACGUGGAAACUUAUUUUAAGCGACUUAGGUUUAUCCAAAACGCUUAAUUUGCUAAUGGCCACCACAAUUUAUUUCAUAACUUUGACCUCCAAUCAGGGAAGAAUACCCGCUGAACUUAAGCAUAUCAAAAAACCGGGAAGAAA
rnacentral:rRNA from 1 species